UGUGUGUGUUCGUGUGUCUUUAUGUAGGCGCGUUUGUCUUUGGGCGUGUGUGUGUAUCUGUGUUUGCGUUUACGCUAUGGGUUGUGUGUGUGUGUGUGGUGGGGGGUCACAGUUGAAGAGCAUCGUCCACCAAAGAAGUUUCUUCAGAAAACGUGUUAGACAUUGUCUCCUACAAGGAAAGAAAUUCGAUUGAUGACAAUUUCCUCUCUUCACUUCUGCUCUGACCUCAAUGGCUGACGGAGAAAAUAC
rnacentral:sRNA from 1 species